GAUGAAGAACGUAGCGAAAUGCGAUACGUAAUGUGAAUUGCAGAAUUCAGUGAAUCAUCGAAUCUUUGAACGCAUAUUGCGCUCUUUGGUAUUCCGAAGAGCAUGCUUGUUUGAGUAUCAGUAAACACCUCAAAGACUUCAAUUUGUUUUGAAUGGCUUUGGACUUGAGCAAUCCCAACACCAGUCUUUACGAUCGGUGGAGGGUUGCUUGAAAUGCAGGUGCAGCUGGACAUUCUCCUGAGCUAAAAGCAUAUUUAUUUAGUACCGUCAAACGGAUUAUUACUUUUGCUGCAGCUAACAUAAAGGGAGUUUGACCGUAUUGGCUGACUGAUGCAGGAUUUCACAAGGGUCGGCAACGAUUCUUGUAAAACUCGAUCUCAAAUCAAGUAAGACUACCCGCUGAACUUAAGCAUAUCAAUAAGCGGAGGA
rnacentral:misc_RNA from 1 species